GAGUUUGAUCCUGGCUCAGAUUGAACGCUGGCGGCAGGCCUAACACAUGCAAGUCGAGCGGAAACGAGUUAACUGAACCUUCGGGGAACGUUAACGGCGUCGAGCGGCGGACGGGUGAGUAAUGCCUGGGAAAUUGCCCUGAUGUGGGGGAUAACCAUUGGAAACGAUGGCUAAUACCGCAUAAUAGCUUCGGCUCAAAGAGGGGGACCUUCGGGCCUCUCGCGUCAGGAUAUGCCCAGGUGGGAUUAGCUAGUUGGUGAGGUAAUGGCUCACCAAGGCGACGAUCCCUAGCUGGUCUGAGAGGAUGAUCAGCCACACUGGAACUGAGACACGGUCCAGACUCCUACGGGAGGCAGCAGUGGGGAAUAUUGCACAGUGGGCGCAAGCCUGAUGCAGCCAUGCCGCGUGUAUGAAGAAGGCCUUCGGGUUGUAAAGUACUUUCAGCAGUGAGGAAGGUGGGUAUGUUAAUAGCAUACUCAUUUGACGUUAGCUGCAGAAGAAGCACCGGCUAACUCCGUGCCAGCAGCCGCGGUAAUACGGAGGGUGCGAGCGUUAAUCGGAAUUACUGGGCGUAAAGCGCAUGCAGGUGGUUUGUUAAGUCAGAUGUGAAAGCCCGGGGGCUCAACCUCGGAAUUGCAUUUGAAACUGGGCAAACUANAGUACUGUAGAGGGGGGUAGAAUUUGCAGGUGUANCGG
rnacentral:rRNA from 1 species